CCUACGGGAGGCAGCAGUGGGGAAUUUUGGACAAUGGGCGCAAGCCUGAUCCAGCAAUGCCGCGUGCAGGAUGAAGGCCUUCGGGUUGUAAACUGCUUUUGUACGGAGCGAAACGGUCUGCCCUAAUACGGUGGGCUAAUGACGGUACCGUAAGAAUAAGCACCGGCUAACUACGUGCCAGCAGCCGCGGUAAUACGUAGGGUGCGAGCGUUAAUCGGAAUUACUGGGCGUAAAGCGUGCGCAGGCGGUGAUGUAAGACAGAUGUGAAAUCCCCGGGCUCAACCUGGGACCUGCAUUUGUGACUGCAUCGCUAGAGUACGGUAGAGGGGGAUGGAAUUCCGCGUGUAGCAGUGAAAUGCGUAGAUAUGCGGAGGAACACCGAUGGCGAAGGCAAUCCCCUGGACCUGUACUGACGCUCAUGCACGAAAGCGUGGGGAGCAAACAGGAUUAGAUACCCUGGUAGUCCACGCCCUAAACGAUGUCAACUGGUUGUUGGGUCUUCACUGACUCAGUAACGAAGCUAACGCGUGAAGUUGACCGCCUGGGGAGUACGGCCGCAAGGUUGAAACGUCAAAUGAAAUUGACGGCGNGAGACGAGCGAGGACGACGACGAGGGGAGGAGG
rnacentral:rRNA from 1 species